rnacentral:miRNA from 1 species
UAUUUUGUCAUCCCGACGACAGGAGGGAUCUUCGCGUAGGAAGCCUGUUUGUAUUGCGCGAAGACCCCUCUUGACGUCGGGAUGACACAAACU